GCCAAAUGUCAUUCGGCGACAACAAUUAAAAAAUGUCGGAAUCGUGUCAAGACGGUAAUUGUCAUGGAAAUAACGAAUAUGGCCCUGACGAAUCACCAACGAAGCUUAUCGUCAAUUACAUUCCUGAAGUUAUGACGCAGGAUAUGAUGUUCUCACUUUUUUCAACCAUGGGUAAAUUAGAAAGUUGUAAAUUGAUAGCGAACAGAGGGUAUGGUUUCGUCGAGUAUACUUGUCCUGAAGAUGCAGUCAAAGCUCGAAAGGCUUUCAAUGGUCUGCUGAUGCAGAACAAGACUCUGAAGGUGUCACACGCGCUGCUCAAUCCAGAGUUAAAACCACCAUCGAAACCGGAAGCGGACUGGAACCUCUAUGUAUGUAAUUUACCUAAUGAACUGACCUUGCAGGAUUUACAUGGACUUUUCGCACAAUUUGGUAAAAUAGUCAAUUCUCGUAUUGCCGCCGGCAUAGCUUUUGUAUUGUAUGAACACCAAUAUGAGGCUGAGAGAGCCAUCCAGAGUAUCCACGGCACUACUCCUCCUGGAUUUAUGCAUCCAUUAACUGUUAAGUAUGCUAAUAAGAGUAAUCCAAACAAACAUAAAAACAAUAACAAUAAUUUUUCUAAAAACCCAUUGGUGAAGCCUUAUCAUUGGAUUAAUCACAUGAACGCCUUAGGAGACCAUGGCUCCCCAGGUACAUGGUCUAUUUAUAUUUAUAAUAUUGCUCCUGAAGUAGAGGAAUUGACUUUAUGGCAAUUAUUCGGUCCAUAUGGUGCUAUUGUAUCUGUUAAGAUAAUUAAGGAUCAUCAAACUAAUAAAAGCAAAGGCUUUGGUUUUGUAACAAUGAGAAAUUACGAUCAGGCAGCGAUGGCCAUACAAAGCCUGAACGGUUACAUCGUCCAUGGUCAACCUCUAUCCAUUAGUUUCAAGACGCAAAAGAGAUAAUGUCACAAUUUGGGGCCUUAUACAAUUUACAAUAUCAAUACAGUAAUAAAUAGACAAAAUGAUUGAAUUCUUUUCCAUUGAUUGGCAUCAUUUGAUACAAAAUGAAAUAGUUUGGAGCUUGGAAUGGGAGCCGGAGUGCACUUACUGUUUGUGAAGUCUGUUGACUCUUGUUAAAAAUAUUAUAUUACUUUGAGCUAUCAACAUUGUUAAGUUUGUUUCUUAUUAUGAAUAAUAAUUUAUUCAGUUUGCUCGUUAAAUGUUUCAAGUUUACUAGGAUUUUAAGAUUUUGUAAUGAUGUAUGUUAUUUGGACUUCAACAUCAGUUGUGAGCUAUGUGCUUUGAUUUUUUUUUUUAUUAUUUAAGUAUAAUCAAUCUUUAUAAAGAAUGUGCUUCUACAAGAUCUAAUUAAUUUAAGCCACAAUGAGAUGUUUAAUCAGCUAUUAGGUUUAGUGGUACACUUUUUAUAACAUGAUGUCUAUUUAGGUAGUGAAAACGAAAUCUAGAUUAUAUCAUAUUUAUACAUUUAGUAUAAAAAUUUGCUGAAUUAAAGUUCAUUUUCACAAUUUUAAUGUGUCUUUGUAUUGUCUACAACUUGUAUGGGGUAUUUUCUAUUUGGAAUGAUGAUAAAUGCAGUUUGUAUUGAAAUAGCUCAUAAUGUAUGUGUUGAUGUCUGACGUCAUACAUUUGUGAUCUAUUUGAAUAAGAGCACAUGUUUGUAUUAUAACACACUGCCUUUAUUUAAUUAUAAAUAGGUCCUGUUUUAUUUUAUUGAAUUGCACCCUAGUAAAUUUUUAGUAGAAAAAUUUUAUGAUUACAAUAAUUCUUCCCAUAUCUUAUAAAUAGGCAUGUAUUUCAAAAUUUAUAUAAUCUUUGUAUAUUUUUAUAAUUAGAGAUUAAAACUUUUGUUUUUCUUACACAGCUAUAUAUGUGUAAAUUCAGCGAGUAUAUAAUAAACUUUAAUUUGGAUUUGAUGCACUAUACAAUUGUAAAAUUAAGUUUCGGUUUUUGAUGUUGUCCAAAAUUUGUAUAAAUAUUUAUUAAUAAUUUUGUUUUAUGAAGCAAUAAUUUUAUGGUAUAUUGUCA